rnacentral:rRNA from 1 species
UGCGUAGGCGGACUAAUAAGUCAGUGGUGAAAUCUCUCGGCUCAACCGGGAAACUGCCAUUGAUACUGUUAGUCUUGAGUUCGGUUGAGGUAGGCGGAAUGUGUAAUGUAGCGGUGAAAUGCUUAGGUAUUACACAGAACACCAAUUGCGUAGGCAGCUUACUAGACCGACACUGACGCUGAGGCACGAAAGCGUGGGUAGCGAACAGGAUUAGAUACCCUGGUAGUCC